UACGUAGGUGGCGAGCGUUGUCCGGAUUUACUGGGCGUAAAGGGAGCGUAGGCGGACUUUUAAGUGAGAUGUGAAAUACCCGGGCUCAACUUGGGUGCUGCAUUUCAAACUGAAAGUCUAGAGUGCAGGAGAGGAGAAUGGAAUUCCUAGUAUAGCGGUGAAAUGCGUAGAGAUUAGGAAGAACACCAGUGGCGAAGGCGAUUCUCUGGACUGUAACUGACGCUGAGGCUCGAAAGCGUGGGGAGCAAACAGGAUUAGAUACCCU
rnacentral:rRNA from 1 species